rfam:Echinostoma caproni strain Egypt genome assembly, scaffold: ECPE_scaffold0000948
GGUCUCGUAGCUCAGAUGGUAGAGCAUGCGCGUACAAAGCGUAGGCGGUGUCCAUGCGUGGGUUCGAAUCCCACCGAGGCUA